rnacentral:rRNA from 1 species
UACGUAGGGGGCAAGCGUUGUCCGGAUUUAUUGGGCGUAAAGAGCGUGUAGGCGGCCAGACAGGUCCGUUGUGAAAACUCGAGGCUCAACCUCGAGACGCCGAUGGAAACCGUCUGGCUAGAGUCCGGAAGAGGAGAGUGGAAUUCCUGGUGUAGCGGUGAAAUGCGUAGAUAUCAGGAAGAACACCCGUGGCUAAGGCGGCUCUCUAGUACGGUACUGACGCUGAGACGCGAAAGCGUGGGGAGCGAACAGG